rnacentral:rRNA from 1 species
CCCUUAGAUGUUCUGGGCCGCACGCGCGCUACAAUGGCAAACUCAGCGAGUCUCCUUUACCGACAGGUAUAGGAAAUCUUUUCAGUGUUUGCCGUGAUGGGGCUAGACCCUUGUAAUUAUUGGUCUCCAACGAGGAAUUCCUAGUAAACGCAGGUCAUUAACCUGCAUUGAUUACAUCCCUGCCCUUUGUACACACCGCCCGUCGCACCUACCGAUUGAAUGGUCCGGUGAAGUCUCCGGACUGAGUACUUUUAGUACUUGGGAAGUUGACUAAACCUUACUAUUUAGAGGAAGGUGAAGUCGUAACA